rnacentral:rRNA from 1 species
GACGAACGCUGGCGGCGUGCUUAACACAUGUAAGUCGAACGCAUCCUUCGGGGUGAGUGGCAGACGGGUGAGUAACGCGUGGGAACGUGCCCUUCAGUUCGGGAUAACCCAGGGAAACUUGGGCUAAUACCGGAUACGUGCGAGAGCAGAAAGAUUUAUCGCUGAAGGAUCGGCCCGCGUCUGAUUAGCUAGUUGGUGGGGUAAUGGCCCACCAAGGCGACGAUCAGUAGCUGGUCUGAGAGGAUGGUCAGCCACAUUGGGACUGAGACACGGCCCAAACUCCUACGGGAGGCAGCAGUGGGGAAUAUUGGACAAUGGGCGCAAGCCUGAUCCAGCCAUGCCGCGUGAGUGAUGAAGGCCUUAGUGUUGUAAAGCUCUUUCGUCCGGGACGAUAAUGACGUUACCGGAAGAAGAAGCCCCGGCUAACUUCGUGCCAGCAGCCGCCGUAA